rnacentral:rRNA from 1 species
UACGUAGGGGCCUAGCGUUGUCCGGAAUUAUUGGGCGUAAAGAGCUCGUAGGCGGUUCGGCAAGUCGGAUGUGAAAUCUCCACGCUUAACGUGGAGGGGCCAUUCGAAACUGCCGUGACUCGAGUCCGGUAGGGGAGUGUGGAAUUCCCGGUGUAGCGGUGAAAUGCAUUGAGAUCGGAAAGAACACCAACGGCGAAAGCACUCUGCUGGGCCGACACUGACACUGAGAGACGAAAGCUAGGGGAGCAAAUGGG